AUGGCUCUUUUGACGGCAGAGGUGACUUGGUUACGGUGGUUAUUUCAGGAGUUUGGUGUUUCUAUCACUACACCUACUCUGCCUUGUUUGACAGUACAAGUGCUAUUAGUAUUGCCCGUGACCUUGUUAAGCAUGAGCUCACCAAACAUAUUGGUGUUGAUGCUUCUUUUGUGCGCGCUGGUUUGCAGGAUCUGGUUAUUGCUCUUCAGUAUGUUCCUUCCGAGUUACAGUUGGUGGAUUUCUUUACGAAGGCCCAAACUAAAGCAAAGCACGGCUUCUAUCUCUCCAAACUCGUUGUUGAUCCACCAUGAGUUUUAG
rnacentral:rRNA from 1 species